UACGUAGGCAGCAAGCGUUGUUCGGAAUCACUGGGCUUAAAGGGCGCGUAGGCGGCUUGGCAAGUCCGGGGUGAAAGCCCCCGGCUCAACUGGGGAGGGUCACCGGUAACGGCCGAGCUCUGAGUGCAGGAGAGGGAAGUGGAACUCCGGGAGUAGCGGUGAAAUGCGUAGAGACCCGGAGGAACACCAGUGGCGAAGGCGGCUUCCUGGUCUGCAACUGACGCUGUGGCGCGAAAGCUAGGGGAGCAAACGGG
rnacentral:rRNA from 1 species